GCCCACCUAGCUCAGUGGUAGAGCACUUCCUUGGUAAGGAAGAGGUCACGGGUUCGAGCCCCGUGGUGGGCUCGA
rnacentral:tRNA from 1 species